CCUCUUUUUCUUCUCCCACUUUGAUCUCUGUGGAUAUUCAUUUAGAACUAGUGGAACCUACUUUUAUUGUGUGUUACGUAUGUUCAGAUUUCUAACAUUUUAUUUCACAAGGAGGAGAACAUUCGUUUCUUCUUUUCAAGUUGGAGUCUGACAGCCCUUUGAUCUUACUGUGCUCGUCUCAGCCUCUGAGGGGAGUUAUAGUGGGCCAGGAGAACAGUGACACUCCCUGAUCUUGGCUUGUCCUUUUGGGAGGCUUCUCAUCCUCUUCCCUUUUUGAAGCUCUGUGGUCUCCUCAGAGGAGAGCCAUAGAAGUCCCCGUGUCUGGGUAGCUGUGGUCCUGGAUCACACUGCACCUGAUGGCUUUCUCAGUGGUCCACCACACAUUAGCUCAGAGUCACGGUUAAGGCAUUUUAAAACUAGUGGGACUUGGGUUUUAUCCCUUGAUGACUCUCUGUUUAUUUUAGGAGUGCUUUCUUUGGCCCCUCUUCCCUGUCACUCUAAAUAAACUUUCAAAUGUUUUUACCCUCUUGAGAUUGUUUGUUAAAUACACUUUGCUGCUAAUUCAGGAGGUCAAGCUUUGAUUAACUACAGAGUGGCCCCUGUGUAGACAGGUGCUGGCAGGGUGGGAGUCCUGGUGAUGCCCAGGGCUGCUGGAAUGGCCAGCCACUGACCCACAGGCAGAGAGCACAAGAGAUAGAAGGAGCCACGUGAACCUGCUACACGAUUUCAAAUUAAAUAAUUUGAAACAGAAACUUUGUGCCCUCCUGUACGCAGAAAACCAAUUAUUCUAUGCCGAACAAAAAGUCACUGUAAAAGUAAAUACAUUGAAGACACAACAAGGUCAUCAAACCCUAACUGGAUUUCAUCGUCUGCCAGAGUCUGUGAAGAAGCCGCCCACUCUUCCUGUGUGGGAGAAGGGGAAAUUAUGGAGUGCUGGAGAAGUGUCCGCGACAUACUGGCAACCGCACGGAACUUUCCCCCUGACGCAGUCAGAAGGACUGGGAGGGCACUGACCAGGGAAUAACUUUCCAAAUAUGUGGGUCCUGAUAGAGUGCCAGGGAAAACCACGUCCUAGCCCCGUCCCGGAAGGCCGGGCCAUGCUCUGCUUGGAUGGGGUGUGCCUCACCCCUCUUGCCUGCUGAAGGUUGUCUGUUCAGGUCCCCAUCAGUCCACGGCUGGCCAUUGUCACAGGCCCAUUGGAUGCCACCAUCUACCACCUGUCUCGUGGGAGCUUCUUCUGCGCCGGCUCACUCCUGCUUUGGGAGGGUAGGCCCACAGCACCUCCUCGUCCCUGGAGCCUUGUUGAAGAGACACAGUGGCCACCUGGAGCAAAGGAUCCCAGGGAGUAUCUGGCCAAGGAGGGGCCUGCCCACCUCCCUGGGAACCUGGUACUGGGAGGGGGCAAUGAGAGGAGGCAGGGGAGAGUUGUAGGUGCAUGGCCCACGCUGAAGACCGAACAAGCAUGAGCUGUCAUGGC